GUGCCUAUGGUGUAGCGGUAACACGGUUCCCUGUGGAGGAAUUAUCGAGGGUUCGAAUCCCUCUAGGCACC
rnacentral:tRNA from 1 species